AUAAAUUAAUAAUAUUGUUUUAUUUAUUAUUAAAUAAUAUUUUUAAAAUAAAUAAGUUUAGGUCAUUGUAUUUUUUAUGAAUAAGAUAAAUUUUACUAUAGUGAAUUAGUACUGUUUAGGAAUAAUUUAUUAACAUUGUAUAAUUUGUGAAAGGUAAAUUUAUUAUUUUUAUCUUGUGUAUCAGAGUAUAUUAAAAUGAAAAAUAAAUUUUAUAUUCUCGAAUUUAAAAGAUUUAAUUGAGUAUUUUAGUUACUGUAUUAUAAGUAUUAAAAAUUCUUAAUUGGUAAUGAAACGUUAUUCGAUUUUAAGGAUAUCUAGUUUUUUAAUAAAUGAAUUUAAUUCAUAAAGUGUAAAUUAUUUUUAAAAUUUGAGAAAUAAUAUAUUAUAUUUUAAAUUUUUGAAGGGAUAAUCUUUUAGAAAUAUAUUUAAAAUAAAAAGUUUUUAAUUGGAAUAGGAAAUUUUAUAAAUUUAGAAUUUGUUAUUAUUAAGAGUAUGUUAAAAUUUAUUUUCUUGAUUAGUAUAAUUUAUAAUUUGUUUAAUUUUUUUAUUAAAAUGUGGAAUUUAAUAUUAAUUUUUUAUUAAAGAUGAUUUAAUUAGUAAAUUGGAUUAUAAUAAAUUAUAAAUUUGGUUAAAGUUUUAUUAUGAAGAAUUAGGCAAAAAAAAAAUUGGUUAAUUAAAAUAAUUACUCGCCUGUUUAUUAAAAACAUGGUUUCUUUGAUUAUAUAGGAAAUUUGGCCUGCCCACUGAAACAUUUUUGAAGGGCCGCAGUAUUUUAACUGUGCAAAGGUAGCAUAAUCAUUAGUCUUAUAAUUAAGGGCUGGAAUGAAUGGUUAGACGAAGUAAAAACUAUUUUAUAAAAAUUAAAUUGAAUUUAGAUUUUAAGUUAAAAGACUUAAAUAAUAUUAAGGGACGAGAAGACCCUAUAGAGUUUAAUAUUUGUAUAUUUUAAUUGAGUUAAUAAUUGAAAUAUUAAAUUAUUAUAAAAUUUAUUUAAUUGGGGUGAUUAAAAAAUAAAUAAAACUUUUUUUGAUUGUAAAUAUUAUAUUUAAAUAAUAGAUCCAUAAUUUGAUGAUUAGAAGAUUAAAUUACCUUAGGGAUAACAGCAUAAUUUCUUUAAAGAGUUCAUAUUGAAAGAGAAGAUUAUGACCUCGAUGUUGGAUUAAGAUAAAUUUUAGAUGAAGAUGUUUAAUAAUUUAGGUCUGUUCGACCUUUAAAAUCUUACAUGAUCUGAGUUUAAACCGGCGUGAGCCAGGUUGGUUUCUAUCUUUAAUAUAAUUAAAUAUUUUAGUACGAAAGGACCAUAUAUUUAAAAUAAUUUUAUUUUAUUUAAUUUUAUGAUGUAGAAAAAUAAUUAA
rnacentral:rRNA from 1 species